rnacentral:rRNA from 1 species
GACGAACGCUGGCGGCGUGCCUAAUACAUGCAAGUCGAACGCAGUGGGGACGGGUGAGUAACACGUGGGUAACCUCCCAUCAGAGGGGAUAACACUUGGAAACAGGUGCUAAACCGAUACUGAUGGAUGGACCCGCGGUGCAUUAGCCAGUUGGUGAGGUAACGGCUCACCAAGGCCACGAUGCAUAGUCGACCUGGGGGGGUGAUCGGCCCCUCUGGGACUGGGACAGGCCCCAGCCUCCCACGGGAGGCAGCAGUGGGGAAUCGUCGGCAAGGGACGAAAGUCUGACCGGGCAACGCCGCGUGUGUGAAGAAGGUCUUCGGAUUGUAAAGCUCUGUUGUUAGAGAAGCGGUAUCUAGCCAGAAAGCCACGGCUAACUACGUGCCAGCCGCCGCGGUAAUAC